rnacentral:rRNA from 1 species
GCAUGGUGUUUGGUGGAAAGCUUUUGCGGUUCAGGAUGGGCCCGCGGCCUAUCAGCUUGUUGGUGGGGUAAUGGCCUACCAAGGCGACGACGGGUAGCCGACCUGAGAGGGUGAUCGGCCACACUGGGACUGAGACACGGCCCAGACUCCUACGGGAGGCAGCAGUGGGGAAUAUUGCACAAUGGGCGCAAGCCUGAUGCAGCGACGCCGCGUGAGGGAUGACGGCCUUCGGGUUGUAAACCUCUUUCACCAGGGACGAAGCGCAAGUGACGGUACCUGGAGAAGAAGCACCGGCCAACUACGUGCCAGCAGCCGCGGUAAUACGUAGGGUGCGAGCGUUGUCCGGAAUUACUGGGCGUAAAGAGCUCGUAGGCGGUUUGUCGCGUCGUCUGUGAAAUUCUGCAACUCAAUUGUAGGCGUGCAGGCGAUACGGGCAGACUUGAGUACUACAGGGGAGACUGGAAUUCCUGGUGUAGCGGUGAAAUGCGCAGAUAUCAGGAGGAACACCGGUGGCGAA